rnacentral:rRNA from 1 species
CCUACGGGGGGCAGCAGUGAGGAAUAUUGCACAAUGGGCGAAACCCUGAUGCAGCGACGCCGCGUGAGUGAAGAAGUAUUUCGGUAUGUAAAGCUCUAUCAGUAGGGAAGAAAAUGACGGUACCUGUUUAAGAAGCCCCGGCUAACUACGUGCCAGCAGCCGCGGUAAUACGUAGGGGGCAAGCGUUAUCCGGAUUUACUGGGUGUAAAGGGAGCGUAGACGGCAGCACAAGUCUGGAGUGAAAUGCCGGGGCUUAACCCCGGAACUGCUUUUGAAACUGUGCAGCUAGAGUGCAGGAGAGGUAAGUGGAAUUCCUAGUGUAGCGGUGAAAUGCGUAGAUAUGAGGAGGAACACCGAUUGCGAAGGCAGCCUGCCGGGGUGCGACUGACGCUGAGGCUCGAAGGUGCGGGUAGCAAACAGGAUUAGAUACCCUGGUAGUC